UGUUUCCCAUAAGGCUGAGCUGUGAUGGCGAGCGAAAUAUAGUAGCGAAGUUCCUGACUCCACACUGCCAAGAAAAGCCUCUAGCGAGGUGAGAGGUGCCCGUACCGCAAACCGACACAGGUAGGCGAGGAGAGAAUCCUAAGGUGAUCGAGAGAACUCUCGUUAAGGAACUCGGCAAAAUGACCCCGUAACUUCGGGAGAAGGGGUGCUCUGUUAGGGUGCAAGCCCGAGAGAGCCGCAGUGAAUAGGCCCAGGCGACUGUUUAGCAAAAACACAGGUCUCUGCGAAGCCGUAAGGCGAAGUAUAGGGGCUGACGCCUGCCCGGUGCUGGAAGGUUAAGAGGAGCGCUUAGCGUAAGCGAAGGUGCGAAUUGAAGCCCCAGUAAACGGCGGCCGUAACGAUAACGGUCCUAAGGUAGCGAAAUUCCUUGUCGGGUAAGUUCCGACCCGCACGAAAGGCGCAACGAUCUGGGCACUGUCUCAACGAGAGACUCGGUGAAAUUAUAGUACCUGUGAAGAUGCAGGUUACCCGCGACAGGACGGAAAGACCCCGUGGAGCUUUACUGCAGCCUGAUAUUGAAUGUUGGUACAGCUUGUACAGGAUAGGUAGGAGCCUUGGAAACCGGAGCGCCAGCUUUGGUGGAGGCAUCGGUGGGAUACUACCCUGGCUGUAUUGACCUUCUAACCCGCCGCCCUUAUCGGGCGGGGAGACAGUGUCAGGUGGGCAGUUUGACUGGGGCGGUCGCCUCCUAAAAGGUAACGGAGGCGCCCAAAGGUUCCCUCAGAAUGGUUGGAAAUCAUUCGCAGAGUGUAAAGGCACAAGGGAGCUUGACUGCGAGGCCUACAAGUCGAGCAGGGACGAAAGUCGGGCUUAGUGAUCCGGUGGUUCCGCAUGGAAGGGCCAUCGCUCAACGGAUAAAAGCUACCCCGGGGAUAACAGGCUUAUCUCCCCCAAGAGUCCACAUCGACGGGGAGGUUUGGCACCUCGAUGUCGGCUCAUCGCAUCCUGGGGCUGUAGUCGGUCCCAAGGGUUGGGCUGUUCGCCCAUUAAAGCGGUACGCGAGCUGGGUUCAGAACGUCGUGAGACAGUUCGGUCCCUAUCCGUCGCGGGCGCAGGAAAUUUGAGAGGAGCUGUCCUUAGUACGAGAGGACCGGGAUGGACGCACCGCUGGUGUACCAGUUGUUCUGCCAAGGGCAUCGCUGGGUAGCUAUGUGCGGACGGGAUAAGUGCUGAAAGCAUCUAAGCAUGAAGCCCCCCUCAAGAUGAGAUUUCCCAUUCCGCAAGGAAGUAAGAUCCCUGAAAGAUGAUCAGGUUGAUAGGUCUGAGGUGGAAGUGUGGCGACACAUGGAGCUGACAGAUACUAAUCGAUCGAGGACUUAACC
rnacentral:rRNA from 1 species